GAUGAACGCUGGCGGCGUGCCUAAUACAUGCAAGUCGAACGAAACUUCUUUAUCACCGAGUGCUUGCACUCACCGAUAAAGAGUUGAGUGGCGAACGGGUGAGUAACACGUGGGCAACCUGCCCAAAAGAGGGGGAUAACACUUGGAAACAGGUGCUAAUACCGCAUAACCAUAGUUACCGCAUGGUAACUAUGUAAAAGGUGGCUAUACUACCGCUUUUGGAUGGGCCCGCGGCGCAUUAGCUAGUUGGUAGGGUAAAGGCUUACCAAGGCAAUGAUGCGUAGCCGAACUGAGAGGUUGAUCGGCCACACUGGGACUGAGACACGGCCCAAACUCCUACGGGAGGCAGCAGUAGGGAAUCUUCCACAAUGGGCGAAAGCCUGAUGGAGCAACGCCGCGUGAGUGAAGAAGGUCUUCGGAUCGUAAAACCCUGUUGUUAGAGAAGAACGUGCGUGAGAGUAACUGUUCACGUUUCGACGGUAUCUAACCAGAAAGCCACUGCUAACUACGUG
rnacentral:rRNA from 1 species